AACGAACGCUGGCGGCAUGCCUAACACAUGCAAGUCGAACGAAGUCUUCGGACUUAGUGGCGCACGGGUGCGUAACGCGUGGGAAUCUGCCCUUGGGUGCGGAAUAACUUCUCGAAAGGGAUGCUAAUACCGCAUAAUGUCGUAAGACCAAAGAUUUAUCGCCCAAGGAUGAGCCCGCGUAAGAUUAGCUAGUUGGUGGGGUAAAAGCCUACCAAGGCGACGAUCUUUAGCUGGUCUGAGAGGAUGAUCAGCCACACUGGGACUGAGACACGGCCCAGACUCCUACGGGAGGCAGCAGUGGGGAAUAUUGGACAAUGGGCGAAAGCCUGAUCCAGCAAUGCCGCGUGAGUGAUGAAGGCCCUAGGGUUGUAAAGCUCUUUUACCAGGGAUGAUAAUGACAGUACCGGGAGAAUAAGACCCCGGCUAACUCCGUGCCAGCAGCCGCGGUAAU
rnacentral:rRNA from 1 species